GCUGGGCCUAACAAGUCUCCGUUUCUUACAGCUCAGUACAGGCCUAGUUCGGGCUGCGACACACGUGCCAUCAGAUGAUGAAGAAACUAAAUUCAACCUUUGCUUUUUAUGUAGUUGCUCCUCAGUAUCAGAGCUGUCACCCGGAACUUGGUCUGCCAGGACAGGCUGAAGACUACAAAGGGGAGAAAGACACUCACUUUUCGGAACACAGAAGAAACAAAGCUCAUAAUGUUAUAAAUACCUCAAAAAGAUAAGAGAGCUAGGAGUCCGGUGAUAAUGCACCAGCUGGGAGGUAAAGGCAGGAGAAACAGACAUCACUUGUAAGAUGGGCUACCUGAGACGGUUUCUCAUACUAGAAACAACCAAUGGAGCUUGAAGAUCUCAAUAUAUAUUCCUGGCUAUACUGGAACUUGUUAUAUGGUCAUCAGACUGGCUUCAAACUCACAACCAUCAGCCUACCUGUCCCUUCUGACACUUGGCAGAAUAAAUGGUACUACUGUUGAGGUCUGUCUCUCUA